rnacentral:tRNA from 1 species
GAUAAUAUGGCUGAAUUUAGGCUAUAGAUUGUAAAUCUAUAUAUGAGAGUUAAUCUCUAUUAUCA